GACGAACGCUGGCGGCGUGCUUAACACAUGCAAGUCGAACGGAAAGGCCCAGCUUUUGUGGGGUGCUCGAGUGGCGAACGGGUGAGUAACACGUGAGUAACCUGCCCUUGACUUUGGGAUAACUUCAGGAAACUGGGGCUAAUACCGGAUAGGAGCUCCUGCUGCACGGUGGGGGUUGGAAAGUUUCGGCGGUUGGGGAUGGACUCGCGGCUUAUCAGCUUGUUGGUGGGGUAGUGGCUUACCAAGGCUUUGACGGGUAGCCGGCCUGAGAGGGUGACCGGCCACCUUGGGCCUGCGAUACGGCCCAGAGUCCUACGGGAGGCAGCAGUGGGGAAUAUUGCACAAUGGGCGGAAGCCUGAUGCAGCAACGCCGCGUGCGGGAUGACGGCCUUCGGGUUGUAAACCGCUUUCGCCUGUGACGAAGCGUGAGUGACGGUAAUGGGUAAAGAAGCACCGGCUAACUACGUG
rnacentral:rRNA from 1 species